UACGUAGGGGGCAAGCGUUGUCCGGAAUUAUUGGGCGUAAAGCGCGCGCAGGCGGCCGUUUAAGUCUGGUGUUUAAACCCGAGGCUCAACCUCGGGUCGCACCGGAAACUGGGCGGCUGGAGUGCAGGAGAGGAAAGUGGAAUUCCACGUGUAGCGGUGAAAUGCGUAGAGAUGUGGAGGAACACCAGUGGCGAAGGCGACUUUCUGGCCUGUAACUGACGCUGAGGCGCGAAAGCUAGGGGAGCAAACAGG
rnacentral:rRNA from 1 species